AGCUUGCUCUCUGGGUGGCGAGUGGCGGACGGGUGAGGAAUACAUCGGAAUCUACCUUUUCGUGGGGGAUAACGUAGGGAAACUUACGCUAAUACCGCAUACGACCUACGGGUGAAAGUGGGGGACCGCAAGGCCUCACGCGAUUAGAUGAGCCGAUGUCCGAUUAGCUAGUUGGCGGGGUAAUGGCCCACCAAGGCGACGAUCGGUAGCUGGUCUGAGAGGAUGAUCAGCCACACUGGAACUGAGACACGGUCCAGACUCCUACGGGAGGCAGCAGUGGGGAAUAUUGGACAAUGGGCGCAAGCCUGAUCCAGCCAUACCGCGUGGGUGAAGAAGGCCUUCGGGUUGUAAAGCCCUUUUGUUGGGAAAGAAAUCCUAUCGGUUAAUAACCGGUGGGGAUGACGGUACCCAAAGAAUAAGCACCGGCUAACUUCGUGCCAGCAGCCGCGGUAAUACGAAGGGUGCAAGCGUUACUCGGAAUUACUGGGCGUAAAGCGUGCGUAGGUGGUGGUUUAAGUCUGCUGUGAAAGCCCUGGGCUCAACCUGGGAAUUGCAGUGGAUACUGGAUCACUAGAGUGUGGUAGAGGGAUGCGGAAUUUCUGGUGUAGCAGUGAAAUGCGUAGAGAUCAGAAGGAACAUCCGUGGCGAAGGC
rnacentral:rRNA from 1 species